rnacentral:lncRNA from 1 species
GAUCCAGUGAGGAUAUUGUGAUGACCCAGACUCCACUCUCCCUGCCCGUCACCCCUGGAGAGCCGGCCUCCAUCUCCUGCAGGUCUAGUCAGAGCCUCUUGGAUAGUGAUGAUGGAAACACCUAUUUGGACUGGUACCUGCAGAAGCCAGGGCAGUCUCCACAGCUCCUGAUCUAUACGCUUUCCUAUCGGGCCUCUGGAGUCCCAGACAGGUUCAGUGGCAGUGGGUCAGGCACUGAUUUCACACUGAAAAUCAGCAGGGUGGAGGCUGAGGAUGUUGGAGUUUAUUACUGCAUGCAACGUAUAGAGUUUCCU